CAAUAGCGUAUAUUUAAGUUGCUGCAGUUAAAUAGCUCGUAGUUGGAUUUCGGGUGGGAAUGGCCGGUCCGCCGUUUCGGUGUGCACUUGCUACGCCCACCUUGCUGCCGGGGACGUGCUCUUGAGUUCACGCUCGGGACACGGAGUCGGCGAGGUUACUUUGAGUAAAUUAGAGUGUUCAAAGCAGGCCUACGCUCUGAAUACAUUAGCAUGGAAUAACACGAUAGGACUCUGGCCUAUCUUGUUGGUCUGUAGGACCGGAGUAAUGAUUAAGAGGGACAGUCGGGGGCAUUCGUAUUUCAUUGUCAGAGGUGAAAUUCUUGGAUUUAUGAAAGACGAACUACUGCGAAAGCAUUUGCCAAGGAUGUUUUCAUUAA
rnacentral:rRNA from 1 species